UAAUCGAGAUUUACACUUUCGGUGUUCUUAUCUAUAAGGGAUUCGCGGAAGCUGUCGUUAAAUGAAAUUCUAAAGUAAGACGUGUACGUCGAAAAAUUUGAAAUGAUCAGCGGUCGGUUGAAAGUUAUGAAAAAGAUAUGUAAUUUUUAUUGCUACGUCACAGUCCAUAAAACUUCUUCCAUUAUCUGCUGAGAUAGAAAUUUGGACACUCGUCCGCAUCUCCUUUGAAAAUUUAUAUCACGAGACCGUGCGCUUGAAUGUUCGCAAAAAUCAUUAAUGUUUCUUUAUAUAUCAGAUUGGUAUCUGCAAUCACCAGUAUUUCUGAUUACUUGUAUUCGUAAAAACAAUGAUGUACAAAGGCAAUCAAAUGUGAUAACGAUAAACGAUUCAACGCUAGUACUUAAACUUGCACAAACAAAAUGUAUCUUUGAGCCUUCGGCGUUUUGCCUAAUGCUGUGUGCGUUACGUGCUUGUUGGUAUAUGUGAUGAAAAACUCCACAAGGAAUUGCUCGUUUUGGAACAUUUGUAAUGAUAGAAACGUUUUGUGCAAAAUAGGAGAGUUGACUUCGCUCAUUAGAAUCAGCGUAACACAAAGCUUUUGUCGGCAAACGAUUUCGACAUACGAAUGCAAAUGAUUUCGAUAAAUACGAAUGGUAAGUUUCAAAUUAUCUACGUAUAAGCGACGAUUCUCAAAGUGAUGUUAUAUAAACGGCUACUAAUAUUAACAAUCGAAUAUAAUAACUAAAUCAUGACAAGUGGAAAAUAAUAUAGUUUUUGUAAAAGCCCUUAUUGUUCCAGUCAAUUGCAAGCAAGCAAAUGCUCUUAGUAUUCAUUUAAGCGUAAUUUGCAAUUUGAUAAAUAUGCGAAGAAUAUUUCUAGCAACAUAAGAUUACAGAAGACUUAAAAAAUAUUUAAUUAUUUUCUUUAUAAAUUUUGCAUUUCUUACCAUUUAAUAACAGUUAUAUAAUUUUAAAGUGCGCAUAGAAAAGAAAGUAACAUAGCCAAGCAACUUUAAUGGAGAUUUUAGAGGGCUUAUGACGACUAUUUUUGCCCAAAACCUGGUGCUGGGGUAGCUCAGCGGCUUCAGGUUUUGUACAAAGAAGAAAUUUCUUGAAAGUAUACCUUUUUAGGGAAAUAUAUUUCAGGAUUUCUUCUUUUACAUUUUAUAUUUUUACACUUCCUCAAAGUAUUCUUCUCUUCGGAAAAUGUAUUUCAGGAAUUUCUCCUUUUCAUUUUACAUUUCACACAUUCCUUCAAAGUAUUCUUUUGUUAGGAAAACCUUUUUCAGGAGUUCUUCAUAUAUCAUAUUUCACAUUUCUUCAAAGUAUUCUCUUCAUAGGAAAAUAUUUUCGUUCCCUAUAUCAAAGCACGCCUACUCCUUCGCUCACCUCGCUACCAAUUUUUUUUUCUGGAAUUUCGUGAGAUUUCUUUCAAGUACAAUUACCCUAAAUUUACCUGAGCGAUCAGCCACUUGUUUGUAGGUUUUCCUUUGAUGAUUUAUACAAAAUUUC